rnacentral:rRNA from 1 species
AGCAGCCGCGGUAAUUCCAGCUCCAAUAGCGUAUAUUAAAGUUGUUGCAGUUAAAAAGCUCGUAGUUGAAUUUCGGGGUUAGUAGGUUGGUCGUGCCACUGGUACGUACUGGUCUCACUGAUUCCUCCUUCCUGAUGAACUGUAAUGCCAUUAAUUUGGUGUUGCAGGGAAACUGGACUGUUACUUUGAAAAAAUUAGAGUGUUUAAAGCAAGCUAACGCUUGAAUACAUUAGCAUGGAAUAAUGAAAUAGGACGUUCGAUCCUAUUUUGUUGGUUUCUAGGAUUGACGUAAUGAUUAAUAGGGAUAGUUGGGGGCAUUAGUAUUCAAUUGUCAGAGGUGAAAUUCUUGGAUUUAUUGAAGACUAACUACUGCGAAAGCAUUUGCCAAGGAUGUUUUCAUUAAUCAAGAAUGAAAGUUAGGGGAUCGAAGACGAUCAGAUACCGUCGUAGUCUUAACCAUAAACUAUGCCGACUAGGGAUCGGAUGAUGUUAAUUUUUUAAUGACUCGUUUGGCACCUUA